rnacentral:rRNA from 1 species
UACGUAGGGGGCAAGCGUUGUCCGGAAUCAUUGGGCGUAAAGAGCGUGUAGGCGGUCCGGUAAGUCGGCUGUGAAAGUCCAGGGCUCAACCCUGGGAUGCCGGUCGAUACUGCCGGACUAGAGUUCGGAAGAGGCGAGUGGAAUUCCCGGUGUAGCGGUGAAAUGCGCAGAUAUCGGGAGGAACACCAGUGGCGAAGGCGAGUCCCUGGACAACACCUGACACUGAGGCACGAAAGCUAGGGGAGCAAACAGG